ACGGAGGAUCCAAGCGUUAUCCGGAAUUACUGGGCGUAAAGAGUUGCGUAGGUGGCAUUGUAAGCAGGUAGUGAAAGCGUUCGGCUCAACCGAAUAUACAUUACUUGAACUGCAAAGCUAGAGGACAAGAGAGGUCACUGGAAUUCCUUGUGUAGGAGUGAAAUCCGUAGAUAUAAGGAGGAACACCGAUGGCGUAGGCAGGUGACUGGCUUGUUCCUGACACUAAGGCACGAAAGCGUGGGUAGCAAACGGGA
rnacentral:rRNA from 1 species